rnacentral:lncRNA from 1 species
CAAGACAAGAAGCAAUGUGAUACAGGUUAUACAUGUACAAUCAUUUUAAAUAUAUUUCCAUAUUUGUCAUGUUGCAAAAGAAAAAUCAGAACAAAAGGGAAAAACUACAAUAAGUGAAAAUAAUAUGCUUCAAUCUGCAGUCAGUCUCCAUAGUUGUCUUUGACAGGAUUUUUAGUUAGGAUCAAAUGAGAUAAUUUUUUGAAAGCACAAUGCCUGGAACAUAAUAGGUGCUUAUUCGCUUCCAUCCUUCUUUGCCCCAUUCUGUUUACACCACUCCUAUAUUAUUGAAUGGAGUUUUUAGAAUAAUAAGGAUAUUGAAAAGCUGAAGACUAUCUGGAGAAGGGAAAUUGAAAGAGUAAAAGCGGUCCAGGAGGACAUUCCAUUUAAAGAUAAGAAGAAAGUACCUGGGGCAUUGAGACUGGAGUGGAGACACCAGAAGAAAACGUGAUAACUAUUUUUAUGUGGUUGAAAGGUUGCCAUGUCGAAGAGUAUUUGUUCCCAGUGGGCAAAACUAGGAACAAUAAGACUGGGGCUUGCAAGGAGCCAAAGGUUAUAAAGUCAAGAAAAACUCCUUAAUAAUUUAUUCCUUUUCAAUAGGUGGAUGGUCUGCCUCAGGAUGAAGUUUUCGCCUCACUAGAAAACUUUGAGCCAAGGUGAGAUAACCCCUUGUUGGCUGUAUUGUAGAAAGAUUGAUUUUUCAGUUACUGGUUAGGAUAGAGGAUCACUGAGGUCUCAUUGAAUUCUAACAUUCUAUGAUUCUGUUAUAUUGGUAUCCUAGGUAACCAGCCUUCUGAAACAACAGGAUGGGGCUCUUGAGGUUUUUCCACUCUCAUUUGAACCUGAGACCUGCUCUCUUGUUUUAACCCUAUAUAACAUAUCAGAGGCUUCCCGAAGCUUCUGACUCUUUUUUCUCCCAAUCCCUUAAACUUGGUUUCUAUUACUCCUCUUUGUCUUGAAGAUAUAUACAAUGAAAGAUGGAGGCUGAGCUUUUCCGUCACUAGGCUGCUCACCAGUUCACAAUUGAGGUUCAUCUGUAUUGAGAUAGGAGCUGUCCUGACGCUCAAAAGUAUCAACCAUGAAUGGCUAUUGCUGAAUUUUCCCUACCCAGCUUAAAUAGAAACCCAGUAAGUUCCCUCAGCCCUUUGCUAGCCCCACAUCCCCUCUCCCCCUUCCCAAUUUGGGAAUUAGCUACUUUUUAAGGGAGAAUUAUGGCCAUAACACUAGAAAAUGCAGUAAGCAGAAAGAAAAUCAAAUCCUAGUUUGUGUAUGACUGAAAUCAGUGUCCAUAUCUCUAGAAUGAGGAUCUUGGACUAGAUGGCCUUUUAAGGACUCAUCCUGUUCUAAAUCCUCUGAUCUAAGACUUCCCUCCUAUGUAGAGCAGAGCUCAAGGAAGCAGUGGAUUACAAGGCAAUACAAAAAUGAUAACCAAGGCAGCUGGCUACGAGGUUGGGGCAUAGGGAAGUAGGGAACAAGCUCCAUUUCCAAAGUUGCAGCUGGCUCUGGGGUGAAGGUGGUAGGAGGAGGUAGUAGGGCUAUAGGUCAAAUAUUUAGAAGGUAAUCCAGAUUGUGGGGGGCAAAUGAGAA